CCUGAGUAUGUCUGCUUGGAGCUGCUCCUGAGCCUGCAACAUCAACAAAUUGACUACUGUGUAGUCGUGCAGCUAUCGAUUAUUUUAGUAGUCGAUUAAUCGAUGAACUAGUUAGUUCAAAUAAUCGAGUAAUCAGAAAAGGAACAUAAAAAAUUAAAAUACCUGAGCCGAGCCUCAAACGGUAUAAAAAAAAAAAAUGAGGAUCUAAAAGAAUGGUGAUAACAAAUGAAAUUGUUAUGUUUUAUCCGUGCCCCUUUGGGAGAGGGACGGAAACCCCGUCUAAAGAGCACAUUUCCACCUAAUGAUCAUUUUGAAUCGGCCAUUUUACCAACUGUGCUGAAAUGGCCUGGAUGCACCAGUCAACUGCCCGAGCUUACAAGUUAACGCUGUCCUAACGUCCUGCAUUCUCACAGCACUCUGUACAGCUGUGCUAAAGAAAGCUAAGAAACUUGUCUGCUUUCCCUUCAGAAUGAAGACUGCUGAAACCCAAGAGGCAAUUGAGGAAUUUUCCUCAUAAUUGGAAGUAGCAGUGUUGAGGAAGAGGGCAUCCGUGUGGUCUUUGAAGGCCAGGCAGUGGUGGUCAACCUACCAAGUGUUGAAGGCGUAUGCUCGCUGUAAAGCCUGAUACUCCCUGGUCAGCUGACGGAACCUCAGUUCAGAUUCCUCAUUCGCCAGACCCUAACAAACAAACAAACAAAGACAUCCAAGCAUGAAGAAUAUAACCUCGGAUAAGCGGUUAGGUUGCAGAUUGAACUGUUUGUCAUUUGCAGGCACAUAUAGCAUGUGGAUGAAAGAUGAAGUAAAAUAAACAUAGCGCAAAGAGGAAAAGAAUUCAAACAAUCACCUCAUCCAGGUCUUCAUCGGGAGUAGCCGGUGUCCGGUCCAUGCGGAACGAAGCCACAGAGGAUGUUUCAGAAUCCAUUGACUCUUCAUCAUAACCGAAGAAUGUGUCGACGACAAUGUGCCUCUGCAAAAAAUGAGGUGUUGUGAUGCCCUCUGCUGGCGCUUAGGUGUAAUAAGUUUUAAAAGUUCCAGCAAUUUUUGCUGACGUCAUCAUGAGUCGAUACGAGCUCAUUCCAAACAGAGAGAGCUAAAUGCAUGAGCUAACUUCUGCAGCCAGUGUACCACAGCAGUU